UCCACUCUCAGUCAACAGAAGUCACCUCUUAGCAGCCUUUCGGUGGCACGUCACCGAUGACAAACAGCUACGAUGAUUAUGAUUGGUAGAGUUGGUAGUGGCGUGGUGGUGGUGGUCCUCUCUUCUUACCUGUCUGCGUCUCCGCCUCCCUCUCCACUCUCAACUGCCUCCUCUCCACUCUCAGCAACCUUUCGUUAGUACAUCACCAACGAUAAAACAUUUGAAACCACUUUCUCCACUUUAUGUACUGUUGCAACGACAUACAACUGCAACGAAUGGAGCUAUCGAGACAUGAUUUUUGGGGGUGAUUGGGCUGCUGACGAUACACAGUUGCUUAGGGUUUAGUUGUUUUUUUCUGUUGGUGAUUAUUGGUUGAUGAUGGUUGAGGCGGUGGUGUGGUGGUAGUGGUUUUGGAUCUAUAGUUUACAUCGAUUUGGUUACUUUUGUGGUUCGCUUUUGGUUAUUUUAGUUUUGUGGCGGUGGUGGUUGCGGUUGCGAUGGUGUGCAGUGCGAUGAUGGUGUGCAAUUCAUAUUUUCUUUUUCCAAAUUUUCUGCUGCGUUGACGGUGGUUCGAUGGAGGUAGUUGUGACAAGGGUGCGGUGGUAGUACAAGUGGUUGAUAGUAGUAAGGCAUUGGCUUUGGUUGUUGAAGUGGUGGUGGUGGCGGCGGCAGCUUCCAUACUUUGGAGGUAGCGAGGGCGAUAAUGGUGAUACUGAUGGUGGUUGUGUUGGUGGUUAUAAGUGGGAUGAGAUGGGGUUGGAUGCUCAUGACCAAUUAUUUGAUUGAUUGUAACUAAUAAUUGGUUAAUUUGUAAUAUGUGACUUAAAAAUUGUGAUUGUGACUCACAAUUGAUUAAGUUGUGAUUGGAAAAUUGAUCGUGA
rnacentral:lncRNA from 1 species